rnacentral:lncRNA from 1 species
CCAGUUUUGGGCCCCUCACUGCAAAAAAGACAUGGAGGCCCUGCAGCGUGUCCAGAGGAGGGCAACACAGCUGGUGAGGGCUCUGGAGCACAGACCUUAUGAGGAGCGGCUGAAGGAGCUGGGGUUGGUCAGUCUGGAGAAGAGGAGGCUCAGGGGAGGCCUUAUUGCUCUCUGUAACUGCCUGAAGGGAGGUUGUAGUGAGCUGCGGGUCGGCCUCUUCUCUCGGGUGACAGUGAUAGGACGAGAGGGAAUGGCUUCAAGCUGCGCCAGGGAAGGUUCAGGCUGGACGUUAGGAAAUACUACUGCUCUGAAAGGGUGGUCAGGCACUGCAAUGGGCUGCCCAGAGAGGUGGUGGAGUCACCCACCCUGGUGGUGUUCAAAGAGCGUUUGGAUGUUGUGUUGAGGGACGUGGUUUAGCGGGAACCAUUGGUGAAGGGCGGAUGGUUGGACUGGGUGUUCCUGUGGGUCUUUUCCAACCUUAGCGAUUCUAUGAUUCUAUGAUUUGCCUCUUGCAUGCCCUACAUCGACCCCAAAUGAGAAGAGGAAACGGUUUUCUCCAGCUGCUUCGCUCAGAGGCUGCAGCACCUCUGCUAUGGAGAAAGAAUCAUACAAUCAUGGAAUUACUCAGGUUGGAAAGGACCUCCGAGAUCAUCAGGUCCAAGCGCAGCCUAACCAUAGUCCCCUAACUCUAAC